CUUUCUUUGCAAUUCUAAUACUUUGGUUUGAAGCUUUUCUAUUUCACCUUCUCCUUUAAGACAUCUGGAAUAGAUUGCAAAGAGGUUAAUUUUUAAAUGGCUACUUAAAUACCUAUAGAGGCUUAUGCACUUUUCUCAAGAUUCUUCUAUUUUUAAAAACUAUGGAAUAUGACAAUCUUUUUAUCACUUACAAUGGAAAUAAACUAAUUUUACUAGAUAUCAA